UCCCGCCGGACCUGACUGCUAUCGGAUUGAUACUAAGCCAUGCGAGUCAUUGUAGCAAUACAAGGCAUACGGCUCAGUAACGCGUAGUCAACCUAACCUAUGGACGGGAAUAACCUCGGGAAACUGAGAAUAAUGCCCGAUAGAACAUUAUGCCUGGAAUGGUUUAUGUUCCAAAUGAUUUAUCGCCGUAGGAUGGGACUGCGGCCUAUCAGUUUGUUGGUGAGGUAAUGGCCCACCAAGACUAUUACAGGUACGGGCUCUGAGAGGAGUAGCCCGGAGAUGGGUACUGAGACACGGACCCAGGCCCUAUGGGGCGCAGCAGGCGAGAAAACUUUGCAAUGUGCGAAAGCACGACAAGGUUAAUCCGAGUGGUUUCUGCUAAAGAAACCUUUUGUCAGUCCUAGAAACACUGAUGAAUAAGGGGUGGGCAAGUUCUGGUGU
rnacentral:rRNA from 1 species